ensembl:lncRNA
CAGCUGGAGGAGCUGUGGCAGCAGGAGCGAGGCCCGGGAGAGGACUGAGGGUACUCAAUGCCAAGGAGCCCGACAGCAUCUCCUUGCUGGGACACAGCUGGAAGGUGGCCAUCAUCCUGUUCAGAGUGAAGAAUGUUUCCAUCCAUCCAUCCAAGCUCCAUCUAUCCAUCCAUCCAUCCAUCCAAGCUCCAUCCAUCCAUCCAUCCAUCCAUCCAUCCAAGCUCCAUCCAUCCAUCCAUCCAAGCUCACCGGACAAAAAAAUGAGUCACCUGUGACUGAAAUGUACCUAAUAGUGUGUAAACCCUCCACGAGCAUGUAUACCAGCUGUAAUUUGAUUGGCCUGGACCGGACAAGUUUCUAGAUGUGGCCGACGUGGAUGUUCAGCCACUCUUGCAUCAAAGAAUUGUUCAGAUCGGCCAGAUUUCGUGAAGCUUUCCCUGGCGUCUUCAGGUCAUCCCACAGACUUACAAGAGGAUUCAAAUCUGGGGAUUUAGCCGGUCCAGGUGUGUGAAUGAUCCUGGAAGUUCAUCAUGCCAAUCAGAGACAGUUAUAGCCCUGUGAAUGCGUCAUCUUGGAAUACAGGGAUAGGAAUGUCUCUUGCUAAGAUGAUGAGCAAAAGGCAAAACCCGGUUGCCCACCAGACGUCGGCCCUGUGGUUCGAAUUUAUGGUCACCUCAACCAAAGAACCCAUUUCCAUUUAAUUAAAACAUCCCCAGAACAUCAGAGCUACUCCAGCUUGAACACCACCCACCUGCACACAGUCCUCACUGAAGGAUUCCUGAGGUCUACGAUGGACACAACACCCAGCAUCAUUCACACACAGGAUUCAUCUGACCAGAUAACACGUUUCCAGUCAUGAACAGUCCAGUUGGUGGGCCUCUUCGCCUACUGUGUCCAGGCAACCUUGUGGGCAGAAAUGAGCAAAGGCCUCUUAUGUGCCACCGCAUACGUUCACGGUAUGCGAUUCCUUGUGGAGAGUUCUUUCAGAAAUUGGUUGUGAAGAACCUGCAUUGACUGCUAGAAGCAAUUCUUGCCUGGAAGUGAUGCAGAUUUUCUUCUGUAAAAUUUCAUCUUGACCUGCCGGAUCUUAAGACAAAAACACAGGAAGUGUCACAGCCUCAUAGGUUAAAAGACUGUGAGGAAUUUAAUACUAAUGUAAAAAAUAAUACUUUGAUAGUGUAAAAAAUAGCGCACCCAACAAUAAAGGCAGCUUUGUGCGACGUUGUGUGACAGAAGCACAGUUGUGCACAGAAAACUGUAAUAUGCUGCAUGUUUAUGUAUCACUGUGGUCAACGUUAAUGUGCCUGAGCUGUAAAUUCCUCUGGGGGCAGAUUUAAAUGAGUUCAAUCAAAAUUCGCAGAAUAAAUUACAGGAAAGCUCUGGGCUCGGAGGCAUGUGAGAUGGACCGUCACCCCGUGGAAACGUGUUCUGCGGUCAGGCGAACGAGUAUUUCAGGUCUUUUCGGGAAUAAACGGGCACCAUGUGCUCUGGACUUCAGUCCUUAAAAGAGGAAAGUGGUAAAUGCUUUGCUGUCCGACCUUUUUUCAAAAUAUGCUGCAAUAAUCCAAAUUUAAUUAAUAAUCCAGUGUUUGCUUUUAAAAAUAAUAAA